rnacentral:rRNA from 1 species
UACGUAGGUGGCAAGCGUUGUCCGGAUUUACUGGGCGUAAAGGAUGCGUAGGCGGAUAUUUAAGUGAGAUGUGAAAUACCCGGGCUCAACUUGGGUGCUGCAUUUCAAACUGGAUAUCUAGAGUGCAGGAGAGGAAAGUGGAAUUCCUAGUGUAGCGGUGAAAUGCGUAGAGAUUAGGAAGAACAUCAGUGGCGAAGGCGACUUUCUGGACUGUAACUGACGCUGAGGCAUGAAAGCGUGGGGAGCAAAC